UAUGGGAAAAUGAUUUGGUCUUCUGCAUGAAGUAGGAUUUGUUAUUAGAUCACUCACAGUACGUUUUGCGCAAUUAUAAUAACACUAAUGAAAUAACCAUCAGCCAAGCCUUAUUGUCACAAUCUAAGUGUUGACGAGAAACUUAUGUUUAGGUCUCGGGCAUUAAGCAGGAUUUGUAAUCAGAUGACUGAAAGAAAGCCCUGGGAGAACACAUAAUCUAAAACGUUACAUCGUGAUAAUACAUCAAAGAGAUUCAGGUAGAGAUAGGCUUAAUUUUGGGUACAGCUUUCAAUGGAUGAAACUUGCAGAUUACGAUUCCGCGCCUCUCUUUCAUGUCCAUUGUCUCUGGCGUGACAUUACGCUCAAGUUGCCAGUCAAAAUGAUGAAGCAGCGACCCCAACACAAAGUGUAGCACUCGAUAGGCUAAUGGAAUUCCUACGCAAAUCCUUCGCCCUGCGCCAAAUGGGAUGAACUCGAAAUUUUGGCC
rnacentral:lncRNA from 1 species